AGAGUGAACGCUGGCGGCAGGCCUAACACAUGCAAGUCGAACGGCAGCACAGUAAGAGCUUGCUCUUAUGGGUGGCGAGUGGCGGACGGGUGAGGAAUACAUCGGAAUCUGCCUAUUUGUGGGGGAUAACGUAGGGAAACUUACGCUAAUACCGCAUACGACCUACGGGUGAAAGCGGAGGACCUUCGGGCUUCGCGCAGAUAGAUGAGCCGAUGUCGGAUUAGCUAGUUGGUGGGGUAAAGCCCACCAAGGCGACGAUCCGUAGCUGGUCUGAGAGGAUGAUCAGCCACACUGGAACUGAGACACGGUCCAGACUCCUACGGGAGGCAGCAGUGGGGAAUAGUUGGACAAUGGGACGCAAGCCUGAUCCAGCCAUGCCGCGUGAGUGAAGAAGGCCCGUUGGUUGUAAAGCUUCGUUUUGGUUGGGAAGAAAGCAAAGUCGGUUAAGUACCCGGUUGUUC
rnacentral:rRNA from 1 species